rnacentral:tRNA from 1 species
GUAGAUAUAUUCUAUUUUUUAAUGAAAAUUUUUCAACAAAUUAGGUUUCGUGGUCUAGUCGGUUAUGGCAUCUGCUUAACACGCAGAACGUCCCCAGUUCGAUCCUGGGCGAAAUCA